rnacentral:lncRNA from 1 species
CCGCCGAGUCCCUACUAAAUUCGGUCGAGCCCGAGCCUCUCCCUCCCUCUAACCACCACCUCUACCUUACCCUCGUUACCGCGACCGUCCCUAGAGCCUCGGCCACUCCCCUCCGCCAUCUGGAUACCGUGCCCAGCUCCGGCCGAAGCCGGUGCCCAUCACGGUCGUCGCCUCGCUCGCCUAGGCGCUCUCCGGUGGUCGCGCUAUGGGCAGACGGAUGCGGCGCCUCGUCCUCUUCCCGUCGGUGGCCGGAGCGCCUCUGGAGAUGGCUGGAGCCGGCCGAACGAGCGCCGGCGCCGGCGCUCUGUCUCUGCACCACGGGAACCCACAGGAGGAAGAAGAAGGAGGCAGAGGAGAGAGAGAGGUCAGCAGUGCGACCCGCGUGUCAGGCUCACACCAAAGUCUACCACGGGCCCGCGUUGUUUAAGUGAAACCGUAUUUCACUGGAAUACACUUUCCGCUUCCGAAACAUAAACAACUGCUGCUACAGACUGAAGUGCGCUUUCCCUUUGCGGAAAGCGUACUUUAGCAAAUACACUUUCCCUCUCCACCGUCGGCUGAAUCUGUUAAAUUAUGAAUGUUCGCUGGUUAGGGCACUAUUUUGCCUAAAAAGUGAACGGCCAUAUCUUUUCACCCGAGACUCUGAUUCAGGUGAAACCAACGCCGACGUCUUCAGUUCAUCGAGCCCGUUACAAUGAUAUCAUUUUCAUAAUAUGGUUUCACAUUCUAAAAAUGACCAUUUUUCCCUUGCCUCCGAUCAGCCCCUCCGAGAGAGAACUAUUUCUAGCGAUCCUUUCCUCGGACUCUUUGCACUUCUUCCCGGAAUAUUCUUCGACCCCAGGCAAGCCGACCUUCUGAUAUAUGCCCUAAAGCAUUGCUCUGUGUUAUUCUUGCGUGUUUAAUUAAUGAUAUGCUUGUACUAGAAAUAAUUAAACUCCUGUCAUUUUGAUAUUAUCAUUUACAUUGCUACUGCUCAUCUUAUCAUUG